ACUCGAUUCUCUUCCCACUUUUCCCUCUCAUUUUCACGACAUUCUUUUUUCCUACAUCUCCAUUGAAGCUUCUUCUUCAAGAUUCUUCCUCCAUUAAAUCUUCUUCUUCCUAGGUUCUUUCGAGGUUUUUUUGAGCUUCUUUCUCUAUUAAAGCUCGUUCGAACUUUGUCUUCUCUAUUUCUCCUCCAAUUGCUCAUUCAGAAAACCCUAAAUCAAGUGUUUCUCCAUUGGAUGACAACGAACUAGAGGUUCUCGAAAUUGUCCAUCACUUUGUUGAGAUUCUAGACCGCUAUUUUGGAAGUGUCUGUGAGUUGGAUUUGAUCUUCAACUUUCACAAGGCAUAUUAUAUACUCGACGAGAUUUUGAUUG